rnacentral:vault_RNA from 1 species
GAGCUGGCUUAGUCAUGUGGUUACUUCGAUAUACUUAUUUUGAAAUCACCAGAAGAGGAGAACGAGUUCGAGUCUUCAGUUUCAGCUAUAUACCACCGACGCCAUCCAGCCAACUU